rnacentral:rRNA from 1 species
GUGAGGAAUAUUGCGCAAUGGAGGCAACUCUGACGCAGCCAUGCCGCGUGCAGGAAGAAGGCGCUACGCGUUGUAAACUGCUUUUAACCGGGAAGAAACCCCAGGACGUGUCCUGGGUUGACGGUACCGGAGGAAUAAGCACCGGCUAACUUCGUGCCAGCAGCCGCGGUAAUACGACGGGUGCAAGCGUUAACCGGAUUCAUUGGGUUUAAAGUGUGCGUAGGUGGAGCGUUAAGUCAGUGGUGAAAUCCUGCAGCUUAACUGUAGACUUGCCAUUGAUACUGGCGCUCUUGAGUGCGCUUGAAGUGGGCGGAAUGUGCCGUGUAGCGGUGAAAUGCUUAGAUAUGGCACAGAACACCAAUUGCGAAGGCAGCUCACUAAGGCGAUACUGAAGCUGAGGCACGAAAGCGUGGGGAUCGAACAGGAUUAGAUACCCUGGUAGACC